rnacentral:rRNA from 1 species
UACGAACCGUGCGAACGUUGUUCGGAAUCACUGGGCUUAAAGGGCGCGUAGGCGGCUUGCCAAGUCCGGGGUGAAAUCCUCCAGCUUAACUGGAGAAGUGCCUUGGAUACUGGCGAGCUCGAGUGAGGUAGGGGCCGUUGGAACUUCCGGUGGAGCGGUGAAAUGCGUUGAUAUCGGAAGGAACGCCGGUGGCGAAAGCGAACGGCUGGACCUCUUCUGACGCUGAGGCGCGAAAGCUAGGGGAGCGAACGGG